GAAAAAUGCCUUGUGAUUUAUUUUUGAAAUAGUAAAAGAAGCAGCAUCAUGCCCAUGACCUUAGCUUGCACAAAACUAUCACAAAGUACAGAAAAAUAUAAAACCUUAUAAACCUGAUGACCGCUCCAAUUAACAAAACAAAAGCUAUAGUGUACCUUACAACUCUAGUAACUAUAGAUUAGACACAGUAGACCAAGAGAAAUAUAACAAUCAAUAUUCCAUUAUGGACUCAGUAGUCGUCCUUCACAUGCAUAAGUUACAUUGCAUGUCUCAUCAAGAUAGAGAGUAUACAAAUGCAUCGGCCUUGAGAGGAAAGGCGGCAAGCGAACCAGCAUGUCACAGACACACUCAUCAUCUAAUUCAUUCAGCCACCUGCAACAGUUCUCUUGUGCAGGUGAUUCACGUCGAGUUGCAUGUCUAUGCCAAUGCCUGUGUCCAUGCCUGUGUUCUUGACCAUGACCGUGUCCAUGACCCUGGCCAUUAUUAUGAUUGCGUCCAUGUCCGAGUCCUUGCUUAUGCCCAUGUCCAGGCCCUUGGACAUGACUGUGACUGUGACUCUGAUUAUGACUGUGACUGUGAACGUGCCCAUGCCUAUCCUCUUCAUCAUCAGGGGAGGGAGAAGCUGGCGGCAGGGGUGGCAAUGGGGUGUAUGGCAGCAUUGCACAAGCAUAGUUCACUAGCGCAAACUGGGAGACACAAAGUGGGCGUGGAAAUGGCUGGGCCUCUAUCUUCGGCAGAAAUACUAAGGCAGCUGCAAAAAGCAUUAAUGUAAGAGCCUUGACUAUUUCCAUUUGCACUUAUUGCAAAUACGCAUGAGAACGUUUAGUAAAGGAAUGUGGUUCAAGGAAUCUCAUACAGGUCCUUCAUUCCUUUUAUACUUGCCUACUCAUGAAUUUCUUGUUUCUUCCGGCUAGGCUUGUUUGCAGGGUAAUAAAGAAAGAAAGAAAGGAAUAACCAAGAGAGUGAGUUUGCUUUGUUAGUUGAUGUUAUGGAAAAGUACAGGGUCUGAAUUGUUAGGGUGACUCAUUCAUUGUGUGUGACAAGAAGUUAGGUGACAUACCGUUGCUAAUGAAAAAUAAAGUUUCCCAGAAAAUUCACCACUUACAAGGAAUAUAAUAAAAUUGGUUACAUCAACAAGAUUUUGAAAUUUUUCAUGUAACAGAAUGAUGACACAAGUUCUUACAAUGAACAUUUUCAUGUCUUUCAUUACCUGUUAACAGUAAUAAAACAGUGACCUAUGCUUUCAAUGUGAAAGCCAUAUCUUUCUCCCCUCAGUAGAAAGCUGUGAUGCAAUUAAUAAAUUAAAAAUUAAUAAUCGAAUAAGAAAUUCCACCUUCUUUAUGCUCACUAGCUAAUGCUUAAUCCGCCCGAUUCCAUACGUGUGCUGUUGACAUAUUUUUUUGACCAAGGAGCUUCAACCAAAAUCCAAAACAAAUAGAAAAGGGCAUGUGCACAUCAGCAUUCAGCCAAGCAAAAUAUUUAGCUGUAAUAAUUAGAUAGAUGAACAUUGUAGUUUCUACCGCAAAUUCAGAACUGCAUCUAACAGCUUCAAUAAAUCCUAGAAAAGCAUACAUGGAAAAGAAGCACCGAGUUAAUGGAUAUAUAACAAUGUUACUCCAAGAAUGUUCACAUAGGCAUAACCUAUUAAGGCUGUUUUAAGUCUCAGUAUUUUAGGGCUAAUUAUUAGAGAUUACUAAAAAAUAGUGCUCCAUCUCU
rnacentral:misc_RNA from 1 species